AGAGAGAGAGAGAAAGAGGUAACUCCAUGGCCAGCUUUCUAAAUCUGGUCAAGAGGACAUGUUAUGGAGAGCUGCUCCACAGGACUGGUUACCAUUUACCAGCUUACCAUGCAAGAGCUCAACAAAUCCAUUUUAAGGCAGUUUAAUAGAUAAUUAAUAUCAGUUUGAUGUGAAAAUCCACAAUAACUCUAUCAGUGCUUGCAAAACAGCAAAAACACGCGCUACUUUAACAGGGAUACUACAGUGUAAUACGUGGUUUCCAGAAAGCUGAUGUAAAGCAAAAACCUAUACUGAUGAUUAUUUUAGUUUUGAGAAAAGCAACAUCUUGAAAAAGUUCAGCAAUCCCACCAUAUGUUGUAAUGAAAACCAAGUGCAAUAACCACAUCACUUGUGUUGUUCUUGUUUACAACUUCAUUCAGGACAAUGACAUUCAACCAUCCAUCUUAUUGGUGCCAUUGGUUGUUUCUGGUUAAAUAUUAAUGAGGGACUUCUCAUGAUGAUGUCUGUCCUGCAGAAAGACACAAUGAUCAACAAGCAUUAAAACUGAAGAAUUGGCAGAAACGAAGAGAACAAAUAAAUUAGGGAAAUGAGAAAUGCAAUAUAGCAGCUCUAAGCCAGAUAGCAUUGGAUACUGUCAUUUCAAAAACUAAUUCAAUAACCACUCGGCAAGACCAAAGGAAAUAUGGCAACGUAAUAAAUAUGGCUGAAAAUUAACACUUAAUAUCGAGAUAUUCCUAGUAUCAAAUUUUCAAUAGCUGAUCCAAUGGUUCUUCUAUAAUUUCAAAUUUAAUACAUUUCCUGGUCCAUUAUAUGGUUGCCUUCAUCUUCUUGUGUUUUUCAGCAAUUACACAUACAGGCAAAUGAAGGAAAAGGGAAAUAGGCAAAGGCAUAACAAACAUUUUGCUGUUGCCAAAUUCAUUUACUACCGAUAUGAUGUAAUAUUGAAUUUGUUUAAAGAAACAUAGGAACUCAUAUAUGCCAGUAUGAAAUUAGUUGUUUCUUUUUCUGUUUAAUUUGGUUGGCUCUGAUGAACAUGCCUAGCCCCACUCAUUUUUCCUGCCUAAAGUAUUUACACUCGCAAAGCUCAAUAUUUUUCAUCCAAUUCCAAAAGAUCUACAGGUCUAUAGAGUAUUUUCUGACUGUAAUUGUGCCAUAAAAAUUAUAUAUUUUCACCAAAUGAAGUUCCAAGAAGUGCUCCCAGGAAGUUAUAGAUUCUUGUAACUUUUUUCUAUAUUUAUUUUGAUGGUUAUAAACUCUUCAGGUGGACCUUCUUUUAGUUAUUUUGAUGGUCAUCAGGUAGUUCAUGGUUACAUAAACAGAGGCUCUUCUUGCAUAAUUUCUAAACAGUGCAAUUCUUAGAAGUACUGGCCUAGGAUUAAAUAUAUGUAAACUGCAAAAUUACAACAGAAUCUCCUUAACUCCUCUCCCUUUCUCACUUCAUUUUUCCUCAUCUACUUUUCCAACCAAGAAGUAAAAUAAAACCAAAUAAAAUAGGCCCUGAAAACUGUGCCUGUAUAGUGCAAACAAGAACUAUAAUUUAUAAUGUAACAAGAAUGAGAGUGUACUGCACCUGGGUGUGCACAAACUCCGAGAACCAAAUUGCAGCUGAAUCUAGCUACUUCUCAAUUAAGCUCCCAUUUAGGUCUCAGGGCUUGUGCACAGAAGCACAAAUGAUACCAAACAGGCUCCAAAUACUUUUGUUGAGUUAAUUUUGCAGCAAACACAUGUUGGACAAAAAAGUACACUUCUAUUCCAAAAACAUUUAGCACAUAUACCAACCAAACAAGAAAAAGAAGCUUAAAGCAAAAAAAGGAGAAAGCCUAUGGAAGAAGAGGUUCAAGCACUAAAACAAAGUGGACCUUGGGAGUUGACGACAAUGCAAAGCCUGCCAAUAUAAAACUCAACAUAGCGGAUCAAUUGAAAGAUAUAUGGCUUGGUCUUCUUAAAAAAAAGGAAAAAAAAAAAAAA
rnacentral:misc_RNA from 1 species